GUUCACUUCAGCAGCACAUAUAGUCAAAUUGAAAUAAUACAGAAAAGAUUAGCAUGGCCUAUUCUCAAUAAUGAGUAAACUAGUGAAACUUUAUUUU
rnacentral:snRNA from 1 species